ACGCGUCCGCCGCCUCCCGAUCCCGCCCCGCGGUCCCCCCCGGGGCAUGAACCGCCCCCCGGCGGGCCGAAACCGGCCAAACCGGCAAAACCGCCCCGAUCAUGCCCGUUUUUCGGCGUUCAAACCGCCGCGCGGCUACCCCCCCAUCCCGAUGCCCCCGGACCCCUGGUCCCGUGGGACCUGACGGAAACGGAAUCGGAUGCCCGGAUCAUGAGAUACGCCCAAAACCGUCUAAACCUACUGAGCGCACCCCGAACAUGCCCAUUUUUUGGCGUUCAAACCGCCGCGCGGCUACCCCCCCAUCCCGAUGCCCCCGGAACCCUGGUCCCGCGGGACCCGACGGAAACGGAAUCGGAGGCCCGGAUCAUGAGUUACGGCCCCUUCUUUGCGGCCCCCGAGGACGUGCGCUAUAGCCCCCCGGGCCACCCCCCAUCCGGCCGCACCCGCCCGAACCCCACCGAACGCGUCCGCCGCCUCCCGAUCCCGCCCCGCGGUCCCCCCCGGGGCAUGAACCGCCCCCCGGCGGGCCGAAACCGGCCAAACCGGCAAAACGACCCAAUCAUGCCCGUUUUUCGGCGUUCAAACCGCCGCGCGGCUACCCCCCCAUCCCGAUGCCCCCGGAACCCUGGUCCCGCGGGACCCGACGGAAACGGAAUCGGAGGCCCGGAUCAUGAGUUACGGCCCCUUCUUUGCGGCCCCCGAGGACGUGCGCUAUAGCCCCCCGGGCCACCCCCCAUCAGGCCGCACCCGCCCGAACCCCACCGAACGCGUCCGCCGCCUCCCGAUCCCGCCCCGAGGUCCCCCCCGGGGCAUGAACCGCCCCCCGGCGGGCCGAAACCGGCCAAACAGGCAAAACCGCCCCGAUCAUGCCCGUUUUUCGGCGUUCAAACCGCCGCGCGUCUACCCCCCCAUCCCGAUGCCCCCGGACCCCUGGUCCCGUGGGACCUGACGGAAACGGAGUCGGAUGCCCGGAUCAUGAGAUACGCCCAAAACCGUCUAAACCUACUGAGCGCACCCCGAACAUGCCCAUUUUUCGGCGUUCAAACCGCCGCGCGGCUACCCCCCCAUCCCGAUGCCCCCGGAACCCUGGUCCCGCGGGACCCGACGGAAACGGAAUUGGAGGCCCGGAUCAUGAGUUACGGCCCCUUCUUUGCGGCCCCCGAGGNN
rnacentral:lncRNA from 1 species